rnacentral:rRNA from 1 species
AUUGAACGCUGGCGGUAUGCUUAACACAUGCAAGUCGAACGAUGAGAAAGAGCUUGCUCUUUCGAUUAGUGGCGGACGGGUGCGUAACGCGUAGGAAUCUACCUAUUAGUGGGGGACAACUUAGGGAAACUUAAGCUAAUACCGCAUACGCCCUACGGGGGAAAGAAGGGGAUCGCAAGACCUUUUGCUAAUAGAUGAGCCUGCGUAGGAUUAGCUAGUUGGUGGGGUAAAAGCUCACCAAGGCGACGAUCCUUAACUGGUUUGAGAGAAUGAUCAGUCACACUGGAACGAAGACACGGUCCAGACUCCUACGGGAGGCAGCAGUGGGGAAUAUUGGACAAUGGGCGAAAGCCUGAUCCAGCAAUACCGCGUGUGUGAAGAAGGCCUUAGGGUUGUAAAGCACUUUCAAUUGGAAGGAAAACCUCGAAGCUAAUACCUUCGAGUUUGACAUUACCUUUAGAAGAAGCACCGGCUAACUCCGUGCCAGCAGCCGCCGUAA